rnacentral:rRNA from 1 species
UACGUAGGGGGCGAGCGUUGUCCGGAUUUAUUGGGCGUAAAGAGCUCGUAGGCGGUUUGGUAAGUUGGAUGUGAAAUCUCCAGGCUCAACUUGGAGGGGUCAUUCGAUACUGCCAUGACUAGAGUUCGGUAGGGGAGUGUGGAAUUCCUGGUGGAGCGGUGAAAUGCGCAGAUAUCAGGAGGAACACCCGUAGCGAAGGCGGCACUCUGGGCCAUUACUGACACUGAGAAGCGAAAGCAUGGGGAGCGAACAGG